GACAGAGGAUGCAAGCGUUAUCCGGAAUGAUUGGGCGUAAAGCGUCUGUAGGUGGCUUUUUAAGUCCGCCGUCAAAUCCCAGGGCUCAACCCUGGACAGGCGGUGGAAACUACCAAGCUGGAAUACGGUAGGGGCAGAGGGAAUUUCCGGUGGAGCGGUGAAAUGCGUAGAGAUUGGAAAGAACACCAAUGGCGAAAGCACUUUACUGGGCUAUUACUGGCACUGAGAGACGAAAGCUAGGGUAGCAAAUGGG
rnacentral:rRNA from 1 species